rnacentral:rRNA from 1 species
AUGGGUUCAUAUGGCAGGUCCCACAAAAAAGAUGUACUAAGGAAGCUUGCACUCUCUCUCAAUUAUCAUUGGUCAUUGCGCCAAGGGCAAUUCAGAGUUUUAGGUUGUGUCAUGGGCUCAUAUGGCAGGUCCCACCAAAAAGACGUACUAAGGCCAUACUCAGGCGGAACAGUGAGGCAUCACCAUUGGCCACGGGCAGGGAGAGAAGGCGGGUCAACAGCGGAGUUUCAGGAGGGCAUUGAUUCCCUGCGGUUAGGAGGCAGGGAGGACGGAGAAGGGCUGGGGCACGCCGAGCAGCUCCUGAGGAGAAAUGGAGGCCUAUCACUGUUUUGUUUUGACAUUAUAUACUGUAAUAAACUUGAAGCUCUGCCCAUCAUACUAUGCAGACUGCAGUGUGUUCUCUUGCACUGUCUGAAGUACAAAAUAAAAAAGGGCAACUAG